rnacentral:lncRNA from 1 species
GUUCAAGAGGGUAUGAGAAAAAUCCCCAGUUAAGUGUUGUUUUAAAAUGUUCUAAUGAAGACAAGCAAUGAUAAGUUAUGGGUCUUAAAAUACACUUUUUCUACCGCAGCUUGACUCAACAUGUGCUCAUAUUAAAUGAUGGAGAUAAUAUUUGUAAUGCUUGGCUCUGGCUGUGUCUCUGAAAAUGCUUUCGCUAUGAAGCACAAACAAACAGCAACACACACAUGGCACAUUUGAAGCAUUAGACUAGCAUCUGCCUUUUAUAACCUCUCUUGUUAUAAUUCAUCUCAGACCACCACUGGCAUAGUGCAUGAUGAUGCCAGUUAAGAUGAGGUGUAGGAUAUAUGAUUCCAGGUGGGAUUGGGUGUAGGAUGUAUGAUUCCAGGUAGAAUUGGGUGUAGGGUAUAUGAUUCCAGGUAGGAUUUGGGUGCAGUAUAUAUGAUUCCAGGUAGUAUUGGGUGUAGGAUAUAUGAUUCCAGGUAGAAUUGGGUGUAGUAUGUAUGAUUCCAGGUAGGAUUGGGUGUAGGGUAUAUGAUUCCAGGUAGGAUUGGGUGUAGGAUAUAUGAUUCCAGGUAGAAUUGGGUGUAGGAUGUAUGAUUCCAGGUAGGAUUGGGUGUAGGGUAUAUGAUUCCAGGUAGGAUUGGGUGUAGGGUAUAUGAUUCCAGGUAGGAUUGGGUGUAGGGUAUAUGAUUCCAGGUAGGAUUGGGUGUAGGGUAUAUGAUUCCAGGUAGGAUUGGGUGUAGGAUGUAGGAUUGGGUGUAGGAUGUAUGAUUCCAGGUAGGAUUGGGUGUAGGAUAUAUGAUUCCAGGUAGGAUUGGCUGUAGGGUAUAUGAUUCCAGUUAGGAUUGGGUGUAGGAUAUAUGAUUCCAGGUAGAAUUGGGUGUAGGAUGUAUGAUUCCAGGUAGAAUUGGGUGUAGGAUAUAUGAUUCCAGGUAGGAUUGUGUGCAGUAUAUAUGAUUCCAGGUAGUAUUGGGUGUAGGAUAUAUGAUUCCAGGUAGAAUUGGGUGUAGGGUAUAUGAUUCCAGGUAGGAUUGGGUGUAGGGUAUAUGAUUCCAGGUAGAAUUGGGUGUAGAAUAUAUGAUUCCAGGUAGGAUUGGGUGUAGGAUGUAGGAUUGGGUGUAGGAUAUAUGGAUCCAGGUAGGAUUGGGUGUAGGGUAUAUGAUUCCAGGUAGGAUUGGGUGUAGGAUGUAUGAUUCCAGGUAGGAUUGGGUGUAGGGUAUAUGAUUCCGCUGUUGCUGGAGCUCUCUUUCUCGUUCCUCUCUCUUUCUCUCUCUCGCUCUUUCUCUCUCUUUCUCUCUUUCUCUCUCUAUACUUGUCUUUCUCAGGUUGUGGCGUAGUCAUACUCAUAUGUACUGAUUGUUCUGUGCUCUCUCUGUCCCUCACCAUCUCUCCCUUCCCAUCUCUCCUUCCACAUCUCUCCCUCCCCAUCCCUCUCUCCAUAG